GACGAACGCUGGCGGCGUGGAUUAGGCAUGCAAGUCGAACGGUAGGAUACCUUCGGGUAUCUGAGAGUGGCGAACGGGUGAGUAACACGUAGGUGAUCUACCCUCAAGAUUGGGACAACCCAGGGAAACUUGGGCUAAUACCGGAUGAAAGCAGCAGUGAUGUUGUUUGAAAGGUGGCGUAAGCUGCCGUUUGGGGAUGAGCCUGCGCUCUAUUAGUUAGUUGGCGGGGUAAAGGCCCACCAAGGCGAUGAUAGAUAGGCGGCCUUAAUGGGUGGUCGCCCACACUGGGAUUGAGAUACGGCCCAGACUCCUACGGGAGGCAGCAGUCGAGAAUAGUCUACAAUGGCCGAAAGGCUGAUAGUGCGACGCCGCGUGAACGAAGAAGCCCUUGGGGUGUAAAGUUCUUUUAUAUGUGAGCAGUGCUUUCAUGUGAACAGCAUGGGGAGAGAGAUAUUAGCAUAUGAAUAAGCAACGGUAACUCCGUGCCAGC
rnacentral:rRNA from 1 species